GACGAACGCUGGCGGCGUGCCUAAUACAUGCAAGUCGAGCGGAUGAGAAAGGAGCUUGCUCCUUUCGAUUCAGCGGCGGACGGGUGAGUAACACGUGGGCAACCUGCCUGUAAGACUGGGAUAACUCCGGGAAACCGGGGCUAAUACCGGAUAACUCAUGAGACUGCAUAGUCUGAUGAUAAAAGAUGGUUUGCUUAUCACUUACAGAUGGGCCCGCGGCGCANUAGCUAGUUGGUGAGGUAACGGCUCACAAGGCGACGAUGCGUAGCCGACCUGAGAGGGUGAUCGGCCACACUGGGACUGAGACACGGCCCAGACUCCUACCGGAGGCAGCAGUAAGGAAUCUUCCGCAAUGGACGAAAGUCUGACGGAGCAACGCCCCGUGAGCGAUGAAAGCCUUCGGGUCGUAAAGCUCUGUUGUUANGGAAGAACAAGUAUGAGUUAACUGCUCAUACCGUGACGGUACCUAACGAAAAAGCCACGGCUAACUACUGCCAGCCAGCCCCGGUAAUACCUAAGUGGCAAGCGUUGUCCGGAU
rnacentral:rRNA from 1 species